AGUGUUGACAGUGAGCAGUGCUCGCUUUGCUAUGGCUAGGCCCUCACUCUCCUCUCUUUUCAAGGCCCCAAGAGAGUAAGCCAUUUAUUCACACCCUAUCUUGACAGCAAAGCCGGGGCCUUGAACCUGGGGCACUGCUUUCAGCCAUUAUUCUUGCAGAGGCCCCAGAGCUCCCAGCCUGCAUUUUUGGAGUCUGAGCAGGGCCCACAGCUGUUUUGCUUCAGCUAGGAGUGAAGGCUGACAAAGAGCAAGGUCUCUGGAGAAGGAGGAAAUGUUUUCUGGAUGCCAAACUGGUGACUGUGGGGAGGUGUGGGGCAGCGGGGAGGGAGGAGCUCUCACUUGUGCCUAGGGAAAGGUCAUGGUCAAUGAGAAAGCCUUUGAUGGGGAGAGUCUGAGAUGGGACCCAGGAACAUCACCAUGAAGCUGUCCAGGAUGGAUGUGGGACCCUCUGUCAGACCAGGCCAGUUCUCUUAAUGUAAGAUCAGCAGGCCAAGGUCCUGGGAUAUGGGAGCUCCCAGGAAGUGGACUGGGAUGCCUGAGGGAUCCAAGAAUUAGCAGUGUCCUGUGUGGUCUCGCUGAGGGAAGCCAGGCAAAAUCUAGCGGCUCAGCUGUAACAGCCGGAGCUCUUGGCUCCCAAGCAACAGGAAACAAUUCUGGCUUAUUUAAGCAGAAAAGGACUUUAUCAAAAGGAUCUUGGGGAACUCACAAAAUAACCAAGAGGGCUGAAGAAUACAGUUGGUGAGUCGACCAAGGAGGCUGCACAGCAGUCAGGACCACAGCCAAAGUCAGGCAAUCCAGGGAUGACCUCGCUGCCAAAUCCAGGACUCCCUGGCAUACACUGCCACCUUGGGACGUGGAUAUGGUCCCUGUCGCCCCAGGAACUGGAAUGCCAUUGACUUGGCGACUGCCACCAUCCACCAGAAUGGACUUCUGUGCUCCUUGCAUCUCUGUAUUAUUAGUUCCCAACUCCAAGCCUUUGAUGGGGGCAUCUGAUGGAUUGAGCCUAAGUUUAAAAUCACAUUUGGAAAAGUAGACCCUUUAUGCAAAAGAACAGACACUGAGAGAAACAGCAACAGAGAUGGAUGGAUUAAAAACGGCAAGUUCUAUCAUCGCCACCCCCCCGCCCCGCCACAUACUUUUCUCUCUUUUCAGGAUUCUGAUGGUGCCUGUUGGCUGCUUCCGUGAUGUCUGGAGUUGCAAAAUGUGCCAGAAAGCAGAAGGAUACACCGCUAUUCAGAGAGGAUUUUCUUAGGGACUUGAAGAAAUUGACCUCAAAAUUUCAGUAGAUGAGAGGACUGUGGCUGGCCUGUGUCUUUGGCACUGGUUGUUGGAGCCCAAUGAAAAAUUCUACAUUGAAGACUAAGGGAAAAAGAGGUUUCAUUAUAGAGCUGGGACUGAUUGCAUUUUCAAAAGGUGGCUGCAACAAUAUCCCACACACUUUUCUGCUGUAUAAUCUGCCACUUCUCCAUCAAGUAGAGGAGACAAUUUCUCCCCUCCUUUGAAUCUGAGUGAGUUCUGUGACUGUUUUGACUGAUAGAAUGAUGUGGAAGACAGACUGUGUGACCUGAAAGGUGAGGUCACAGAAAGCCUUGCAACUUCCACCUGGCCUGUGAAGAACACUUGCUCUUGGGAUACUCCUUCUUGGAACCCAGCCACCAUGCUGUAAGAAGCCCAAUCUACAUGCAGACACCACAUAUAAGGCAUCGUAGUCAACAGCCACAGUUAAGUUCCCAGCCGGCAGCCAACAUCAACUACCAGUCUUGUGAGUGAGCUAUCUUGGACAUCCAGCUUGGUUAAACCUUCAGAUGACUCCAGCCCCAGCUGACACCUGACUGCAACCACAUGAGAAACCAGGAAUGAAAAUCCACCAGCUGAGCCCAGUCAACUCAUAGAACUGUGAGAGAUAAUAAUAAGUUGUGGUACUAAGCCACUAGGAUUGGGGCACCAUGCAAUAAUAGGUAACCAAGACAGUAGCAACUUUGGUUAGACACAUGAGCCAUGGGAUGACACAUAAUUAGGUAUAUUUUUAAAAACUUGGAUUCAGCUUUAGGGCAAUGUGUCCCUAACAUAGAGAGGCACUAUUUCAGUUCACAUCUGCUGCCUCUGAUCAAAACACUCUCUUGCACUUCCAGAGAGAGAGAGAGAGAGAGCAAAUGUGUGUAUUUACUGACAGGUGUCCCUUUGUGUCCCCAUCUGUGUGACUGUGGAGCUCAGUGUCUCUCACACAUUCUAGUAUGAUACUUGGUGCCAUAUUUGCAGGUCCUGAGGUAAGAACCCAUGCUGUUGUCUUCAGAGAGUUUCAUGGGUUGGACUGUGCCAUAUAUGGGCAAAAAUCCACCCACACGUUUUCUUUUAAUCACCUUUAUGGAUGUAUAAUUUACAUAUAUACUUUUUUCUUAUUACUUUUUAUUUAUGUAAUUUAUUCAUUUUUUGAGAUAGGGUCUCACUCUCUUGCCCAGGCUGGAGUGCAGUGGAGUGAUCAUGGCUCACUGCAGCCUUGACCUCCUGGGCUUAAGCAAUCCUCCCACUUCAGCCACCUGAGUAGCUGGGACCACAGGCACACACCACCACUCCUGGCUAAUUUAAAAAGUUGUUUUUUUUUUUUUUUUUGUAGAGACAGGGUCUCACUAUGUUGUCAAGGCUGGUCUCAAACUCCUGGGCUCAAGCGAUCCUAGUGCCUCAGCCUUCCAAAGUUCCGGGAUUACAAGCAUGAGCCACCAUGCCUGGCAUCUUUUGUGGAUGUGUAAUUUACAUACGUACAAUAAUAUGUACCUAUUUUAAGUAUACAGUUUGAUGAGCUUUGACGAAUGUAGCCCACGAAACCACCACCAUAAUCGAAGUAUAGAACUUUUUUUUUUUUUUUUUUUGAGACGAAGUCUCUCUCUUGUCACCCAGGCUGGAGUGCAAUGGCAUGAUCCCGGCUCACUGAAACUUCCGCCUCCCAGGUUCAAGCGAUUCUCCUGCCUCAGCCUCCUGAGUAGCUGGGAUUACAGGCACCUGCCACCACGCCCAGCUAAUUUUUGUAUUUUUAGUAGAGACAGGGUUUCACCAUGCUGGCCAGGCUGGUCUCGAGCUCCUGACCUCAGGUGAUCCCCCCUCCUCGGCCUCCCAAAGUGCUGGGAUUACAGGCAUGAGCCACUGCGCCCGGCCUAUAGAACAUUUUAAUCACCCCAGAGAUGUGCCCCCUGUGCAGCCAGUUCCCUCCUCUCACCCCCCAGCCCCUGGCAAGCAUUGAUUUGCUUUGCCACUAUCAAUCAAUUUUUGUCUUUUCUGGUAUUUCAUAUGAAUGGAAUCAUAUAGGAUAGAUUUUUAUGUGACUACACACUAUUUUAGCAUAAUAUUUUUGAAGUUCUUCCAUGUUGUUGUGUAUAUCUAUAGUUAAUUUCUUUUUCUCACUGAAUUGUAUACCACUGUAUGAUGUAUCACAAUUUGUUUAUUCAUUCUCCCGUUGCUGGACAUUUGGACUGUUUAUUGUUUGGGGCUACUAUGAAUAAAACUGCUAUGGAUGUUUAUGUACAAGAUUUUGUGGACAUACGUUUUUAUUUCUUUUCGGUAAAUAUCUAAGAGUGCUAUUACUGGGUAUAUUAGUCCAUUUUCAUACUGCUAUAAAGAACUUCCCGAGACUGGGUAAUUUAUAAAGGAAAGAGGUUUAAUUGACUCACAGUUCAGUACGGCUGGGGAGGCCUCAGGAAACUUAUAAUCAUGGCAGAAGGUGAAGGGGAA
rnacentral:lncRNA from 1 species